rnacentral:misc_RNA from 1 species
UAUGAUCAUCAAAUCCCGGGGAGAAGAAAGCCAUGUGCAGGUGCUAAGGAAAGUAUUUGAGAGACUCAGGAAAUAUCAGUUGAAACUGAACCCUGCCAAAUGCAUAUUCGGAGCUAGAUCUGGGAAAUUGUUGGGAUUCAUAGUGAGCGAGAAGGGAAUAGAAGUUGAUCCGGACAAAGUCCGAGCCAUUCAAGAGAUGCCAUCCCCAAAAACAGAAAGAGAGGUGCGCAGCUUCUUGGGGAAGUU